UCUUCUUUCUGAGUGAGAAUGAAUUUCCUUUCUAACAUUCAAUCAUUUUCAAAGACAAGUUUUUCUUUUCUUUGUUUCUGGUAUGUCUAAAUGAAUACUUUCUAAUAUUUUCCAUGAACUUGCAUUGAUGAUUAUUUGAAGAAAAAAAUAACAAGAAAAAAAAGAACAAGGUGACAAAGUUGUAAGAAAGAAAGGAGAUGAAACAAAGAGAGAGGGAGAAGAGAACGGGGAAUAAGGAAAAGGAGGAGAAGAGAGAGGCAGAAAGUUGUUACUGAAAACAAAACAAGGGGAAGAUGAAAGGAAAGAGACCAAAGAGCAGAGACAGAGGGGGAGAGAGAGAUAAAGAAAUGCGGUUUUGAACUAGACUCUGGUAUUCAGAAUGAUGAUACGUGCAAUCUGUGCUGCUGGAAAAGCUGAUGUGGCAAUGGAAUUUUACAAGGAAAUACUGGACACCGACAGAAGGCUGAGGUUAGAUAGAGGUUUUGCAUCUGGAAGCCUCUAUCGAACUUCAGUUAAUUUGAUUAUGAUGCAGCCCAAUUCAAGUUUUUGGAGGAGGAGCUGAGUGAAAAUGGCGGUUCCAUUGUUGAAGAAGGUGAUCGUGAAGAAGAGGGUCAAGCAGUUCAAGAGGCCCCAAAGCGACUGCAAGAUCUGCGUCAGGUUUUGCAGUUUUCUAAGGUUGAAUUGCUCCCAAAAGGCUUGGAGAUCUGGUUUCUUUCACAGAAG